CUCUAAUUUUGGUGAGUCUUACAGAUCCUACCUGUGGGUUGUUUUAAUACCAACUGUAUGAAGGGAUUGCGAGAUUUAGUUCUGUAGCAGCCAAGCCCUGAAGCACUGCAGUAUUGCUAUGGAGAGUCUGGUCAGUGUGGCUUCUGUAAGGGAAAUGCUGCCUUUUUGACCUUCUUAGUUCUUUGAAUCUCUGAGUAAGGGGGCACAAAGAGUGUAAUCAGUAGUCAUAACGUAUCUGGACUUUUUUUGCAUCUAGUAAGUCUCCCUUGGGAGACUAUUAAGGAAAGAAGCCCUGGGCAAAACAUUGUUAGAUAUUUCUAUCCAGUGUAUAAAUGAGCACAGGCCUGAUGACACACCAACUGCACGCUGUGUGCUGUGCAAAGCUUUCUGAUAGGAUCUCUCUUCCUCUCUCCAUCAGUCCUUGGACUUGCCUGGUCACAUACCGUUAACUUGUCUUUCCUGCUGCUAGCUGUAUGAGCUGGCAGCCCUUCAGAGAGACAGCCUGCUUUCCAGAGAUCUGUUUUCACAGGAAUUCCUUUGUCUGUCCUCAGCAGACCCCAAAUAUACCAACUCCGUUAAUAGCCCAGAAGAGGAGUCCAGGGACUCACUUGCUUCUGUACUUCACCCUGAUCUGAAAGCAGAAAGGGGAAGCAGGGAGGCAUUGCUUCCAUUUGGGAAAAUCAAAUCUAUAUCCUCUGGAGAUCCUAAUGAAAGGAUUGGUAACCCUCAAUGCACACAGUCAAUCUGUCUAGGUUAUGAGCUUAGCUUAUGAGAAUUACAUACAUGGGCUGCCAAACAUUAAAAAUCUGAAUGCUGCAGACAGCCCGAUCGUGGUAUGGAACUGCGGCUCCGGUGUGUCAGAAAGGACAGUGCCUACCCAGAGACAUUAUGCAAAUUUAACAGAAGCAUCUUGUGUUUGCAGGCAGCCUAGGGACUUACAUUUUGGUCUCUUCUCUCUCCAGCUCCUGUGCCCAACAUGUUGUGCUGUGCUUCAUGUGCCAGAGGGACAAUCUGAGUCUGUAAUGUCAGAAGAGUACAUCUGCACAGUAAGAACAGAAUGAAAAUGGUAGAUUCACCAUGCUGAAGGUCAAGGAGACCUUUCUCUUUGCUGUCUGUGUUCAGAAGGACCAGAGGGAUGAAUAACUUCUCAAGGUAGCAGUAAUCUUAUGCUCUCCUUCAUCUAACGUUAUCAAAACCUGUUUAAUCAGGCUGAAGUUACCCUCCUGGCUACCCAGCUUCAGCAAGUGGCGGUUAUGGGUUAGAUGUGAAACUGAGCUUGGACUAUUAACAUCUCCUAAAUGCCUCCCCAAAAUCAAGAAUAUUACCAUCACUUCUUGGCCAUCAUCCUGUCACGGUAAUGACAUUUCAAUUGUUUGAACUCCUCCGUGGGACUGUAGCCAAAUAACAGAUUCCUUGCUGGAAUAAAGCAUUCCACUCAGAAACACAACUGGUUUUGAGUGCUGUCAUGUUUAUGCAGUUCUCUGCCAAAGCAAAGCACACUCUUGUUUUUAUUGGAUUAAUAAAGGAUUGUUCUGGAAAACAAUGCUAUUAUUAUAUGUGACUUUUUGGAAGAGACCCUCUGCAGAUAACCGUAGCGUUGCACAAAGAAAGAUUAACCAGGAAGGUUGUUUUCUUGCUUUUCUGAGCUCUGCUGAGUGCUAGAACGCAAGUCAUAGAGGAGAACCUCCUGCAUCCCACUCACAACUGAGGGCAACCAUUCCUGGCGGUGGGACAGGCCUGCAGGACAUCACAGCUUCACGGCUUUGCCACCAGCGACAAAGGAGAGCUGAGCUGGGAGGAGCAGAUAAAAAUGGGGUCUGCCGCAGUGUGGGAGCUUGCUCCAGCCACAGCGUCCCUCCGUCGGCUCUCUCUGUGGGACCACCACGUCUGUAAGCUCUACGUGCUGUGCGGAGGCAUCUUCACGGCGAAGCACCUCCGUUUAACUCAAGGCCCUUUCUCCUUUCCACGGAGCCACGCAGAGGCACGGAGGACAGGCUGUCAAAGCCCAGCACUGAGAUGAGACGCCCACAGGCAGCCGUGCCGAGGGCGCGCUGGGAUGGCCGGAGCUGUGGCGCCGCGGCGGGCGGUU
ensembl:lncRNA